UAACCCACCUGGUUAUACCGCAUCCCUCUGCUCAGAGACCCCCAAAGUACCAAAGCUAAUCCAGUUUACCGGAUCCAUCCACAGCUCCCACGUCCACUACAGAGCAGCCGUCUGCAGUAAGAGAUUGCAAACCCAGUGGAGCAGCCGCUAGGCAUUAAUCCCGGUUUAUUGUCUGUGACUGCAGAAAAGUCAGCCCUGAUCUCCAGCCCAAGCCGUCCGUGUGCUCCGUACCUUCUGUCCUGCAUGAUGACCCCGCGGACUUCACAACUUGUUUGAUCCUCUGCGCAGGUCUAUCUGAUGCCAUUCUCAGUCUGUAACGUUCUCCUGCUCUGGAAAGCCAAGCCUCAGCGUGGUCAGGUCUUGUCUGAAGAUGAGAAGGAGCCGGCCGCUCGUAAUCUCUUUG